rnacentral:rRNA from 1 species
CCUACGGGAGGCAGCAGUGGGGAAUAUUGGGCAAUGGAGGAAACUCUGACCCAGCAAUGCCGCGUGAAUGAAGAAGGUCUUCGGAUUGUAAAGUUCUUUAGUCAGGGAAGAAGUCAAUGACGGUACCUGAAGAAUAAGCUCCGGCUAACUACGUGCCAGCAGUCGCGGUAAUACGUAGGUGGCAAGCGUUAUCCGGAUUUAUUGGGUGUAAAGGGCGUGUAGGCGGGAUUGCAA